AAGGUGGCCUGUGAGGGUUGCUGGAGGUAUCAGAAGUGCGAAUGCUGACAUAAGUAACGAUAAAGCGGGUGAAAAGCCCGCUCGCCGGAAGACCAAGGGUUCCUGUCCAACGUUAAUCGGGGCAGGGUGAGUCGACCCCUAAGGCGAGGCCGAAAGGCGUAGUCGAUGGGAAACGGGUUAAUAUUCCCGUACUUGGUGUUACUGCGAAGGGGGGACGGAGAAGGCUAUGUUGGCCGGGCGACGGUUGUCCCGGUUUAAGCGUGUAGGUGUGUGUUCCAGGUAAAUCCGGUUCACUUUAACACUGAGGCGUGACGACGAGGCACUACGGUGCUGAAGCAACAAAUGCCCUGCUUCCAGGAAAAGCCUCUAAGCAUCAGGUAACAUCAAAUCGUACCCCAAACCGACACAGGUGGUCAGGUAGAGAAUACCAAGGCGCUUGAGAGAACUCGGGUGAAGGAACUAGGCAAAAUGGUGCCGUAACUUCGGGAGAAGGCACGCUGACACGUAGGUGAAGUGAUUUACUCAUGGAGCUGAAGUCAGUCGAAGAUACCAGCUGGCUGCAACUGUUUAUUAAAAACACAGCACUGUGCAAACACGAAAGUGGACGUAUACGGUGUGACGCCUGCCCGGUGCCGGAAGGUUAAUUGAUGGGGUCAGCGCAAGCGAAGCUCCUGAUCGAAGCCCCGGUAAACGGCGGCCGUAACUAUAACGGUCCUAAGGUAGCGAAAUUCCUUGUCGGGUAAGUUCCGACCUGCACGAAUGGCGUAAUGAUGGCCAGGCUGUCUCCACCCGAGACUCAGUGAAAUUGAACUCGCUGUGAAGAUGCAGUGUACCCGCGGCAAGACGGAAAGACCCCGUGAACCUUUACUAUAGCUUGACACUGAACAUUGAGCCUUGAUGUGUAGGAUAGGUGGGAGGCUUUGAAGCGUGGACGCCAGUCUGCGUGGAGCCGACCUUGAAAUACCACCCUUUAAUGUUUGAUGUUCUAACGUGGACCCGUAAUCCGGGUUGCGGACAGUGUCUGGUGGGUAGUUUGACUGGGGCGGUCUCCUCCUAAAGAGUAACGGAGGAGCACGAAGGUUGGCUAAUCCUGGUCGGACAUCAGGAGGUUAGUGCAAUGGCAUAAGCCAGCUUGACUGCGAGCGUGACGGCGCGAGCAGGUGCGAAAGCAGGUCAUAGUGAUCCGGUGGUUCUGAAUGGAAGGGCCAUCGCUCAACGGAUAAAAGGUACUCCGGGGAUAACAGGCUGAUACCGCCCAAGAGUUCAUAUCGACGGCGGUGUUUGGCACCUCGAUGUCGGCUCAUCACAUCCUGGGGCUGAAGUAGGUCCCAAGGGUAUGGCUGUUCGCCAUUUAAAGUGGUACGCGAGCUGGGUUUAGAACGUCGUGAGACAGUUCGGUCCCUAUCUGCCGUGGGCGCUGGAGAACUGAGGGGGGCUGCUCCUAGUACGAGAGGACCGGAGUGGACGCAUCACUGGUGUUCGGGUUGUCAUGCCAAUGGCACUGCCCGGUAGCUAAAUGCGGAAGAGAUAAGUGCUGAAAGCAUCUAAGCACGAAACUUGCCCCGAGAUGAGUUCU
rnacentral:rRNA from 1 species